CUUGAACCCAGGAGGCAGAGUUUGCAGUGAGCCAAGAUCCUGCCAUUACACUCCAACCUGGGCAACAAGAGCAAAACUCCGUCUUAAUAAAAAAAAAAAAAAAAAAAAGAACAAAGGGUAACCUAUUAGAAAGUAACAAGGGGCAGGGCGUGGUGGCUCAUGCCUGUAAGGCCCAGGCAGGCAGAUCAUGAGGUCAGGAGUUCGAGGCCAGCCUGACCAACAUGGUGAAACCCCAUCUCUACUAAAAUACAAAAAUUAGCUGGGCGUGGUGGCGCACGCCUGUAAUACCAGCUACUCAGGAGGCUGAGGCAGGAGAACCGCUUGAACCCAGGAGGCGGAGGUUGCAGUGAGCUGAAAUUGUGCCACUGCACUCCAGCGUGGGCGACAGAGUGAGACUCUGUCAAAAAAAAACAAAAAAAAAAAAAAGAAAGAAAGAAACAAGGGCUCGGGUGCAGUGGCUUACCCCUGUAAUCCCAGCACUUUGGGAGGCCCAGGCAGGCAGAUCACAAGCUCAAGACCAGCCAGACCAACAUGUUGAAACCCCGUCCCAACUAAAAAUACAAAAAUUCGCUGAGUAUGGUGGCAGACACCUGUAAUCCCAGCUACUUGGGAGGCUGGGGCAGGAGAAUUGGUUGAAUCCGGGAGGCAGAGGUUGCAGUAAGCCAAAAUCAUGCCACUGCACUCCAGCCUGGGUAACAGAGCAAGACUCCGUCUCAGAAAAAAAGAAAAAAAGAAAAAAGAAAAGAGAGUAACAAGGGAGGCCAUUUUAUAAAUGGGUGAGCAGGGAAGGUGACAUUGGAGCUGCGUGUUCCAAGCAGAGAGAAGAGCUAACAUGAAAGCUCUGAAGCAGGGCCCAGCUUGAGAUAAUCAAGAAACCAAGGCCGGGCGUGGUGGCUCAUACCUGUAAUCCCAGCACUUUGAGAGGCCGAGGCGGGCAGAUCACGAGGUAAGGAGAUCAAGACCAUCCUGGUUGACAUGGUGAAACCCUGUCUCUACUAAAAAUACAAAAAUUAGCUUGGGCAUGGUGGCGCGUGCCUGUAAUUCAAUCUACUCAGGAGGCUGAGGCAAUAGAAUCGCUUGAACCCGGGAGGCAGAGGGAGGUUGCAGCGAGCCAAGAUCGCGCCACUGCACUCCAGCCUGGGCAACAGAGCAAGACUCUAUCUCAAAAAAAAAAAAAAAACUACCUGGGCGUGGUGUCGCUUGCCUAUAAUCCCAGCUAUUCAGGAGGCUGAGGCAAGAGAAUUGCUUGAACCCAGGAGGUGGAGGUUGCAGUGAGCUGAGAUCGCGCCACUGCACUCCAGCCUGGCAACAGAACUAGACUCCGUCUCAAAAAAAGAAAAAGAAAUAAAGGAGGCCGUUUUAUAAAUGGGUGAGCAGGGAAGGUGACAUUGGAGCCACGUUCCAAGCCUCCUCAGUAGCUGGGACUACAGAUGCACGCCACCAUGCCUGUCAAGACUUUUUGUACUUUUAGUAGAGACAGGGUUUCGCCAUGUUGGCCAGGCUAGUCUGGAGCUCCUGACCUCGGUGAUCCACCCGCCUCAGCCUCCCAAAGUGCGAGGAUUACAGGCAUGAGCCACUGCGCCUAGCCUGAUUUAUACUUUUAAAAGAUCAUUCCAGCUCUGUGUGGAGAAUGGAUUAGAGGGCAGCCAGGGUUGAAAGCAGGGAGCCCAGAAGGGAAGUCACUGCAGCGUCCAGAUGAGGGAGGUGGCUUGGACUAGAGCAUGGUGGUGGAGAUGAAACACAGUGGCCAUGUACUAGCCUCAGUGACCACUUCCCCCUCCCCUUGGCAGCAUUUGACCCCUUGUCUAUCCUGUCCCCCAGCCCUAAUCACAGGAGGAACAGAUGUGUUUGUGUCAAUGUCCACGUCCCCAGAAGCCCAGGCUUGACUCAGGUCAGCUGAGGUCUGGACAUGGCCAUGCUGAGGCUCCAAGGGCUGAAUCAAUGAACGAGUGAAGGCACCUCCACUCUGCAGCCUCGUGUCUGAAGGCACAAAGAUAUCGGUAACUGAAAGAGAGAAAUGGGGCAGGAGGAGGAAGCUGGGGCAGAUGGUAGUGGUUUUAUGAAAAAGGCAAAAUUACAGCAGUGGUUACAAGAAAUCAGGGCAAAGUGCAGCAUCUACCUAGAUGUCCCAAUCUGGGUGUCCCCAUGUAGGUUGGGACCUCACCUCUGCCCUGAAAAUGGCCCCACAGAGGCAGGGAUGGCACUGGGAGAUGGUGCAGGCGCCAAUGGGUGUGGCAACCUGGAGGGCAAAGCACUUCUGGAGGAGUAUGAAAACCAGGGUGGAGAAGGAAGUCUUGGGAAGGCAACUCUUCUAGAAAGAAUCUGAGACAGACAGGUAGGAGCCGUGGACCUGCCCUACCUAGAGGGCUCAGGCUCUGAAACAUCUCCAGCCAGCAGGAGAAUUAGGGCUGGGGCCAGGGAAGAGCAAAGCAACUGGGCUAAUGGGGUUAAGAAACUCCUAGGGUCAGCCGGGCAUGGUGGCUUUCACCUGUAAUCCCAGCACUUUGGGAGGCCGAGGUGGGCGGAUCACCUGAGGUCGGGAGUUCAAGACCAGUCUGACCAACAUGGAGAAACCCCGUCUCUACUAAAAAUACAAAAUUAGCCGGGCAUGGUGGCGCAUGCCUGUAAUCCCAGCUGCUCAGGAGGCUGAGGCAGGAGAAUCACUUGAACCCAAGAGGUGGAAAAUUGCUUGAACCCAGGAGGCGGAGUUGCAGUGAGCCGAGAUCACACCAUUGCACACCAGCCUGAGCAACAAGAGCGAAACUCUGCUAAAAAAAAAAAAAAAAGAAGGAAACUCCUAGGGUCGGCUACAGAUGCCACCUUUCUACCAGCCAGGUGACAUAGUCCAGUAAGAGGUGGAUAGCAGACGAGCUGAGACAGCUCACCUCCAUCCUGUCAAUUCCCAAAGGGCCCCUCUUUACCCCUGGGCCAAGGUUCAGGCUUUAGGCCCCUCUCCCCAAAUUAGGGAUCAUGGAGCAGCUUCUUUACCCUUCUACAGGUUUUGCCCCACGAGUCUAGUCCUCAGGCCGAGCUAUGAUCUUUCCAGAGUCCCACUGUCCUUGAGACAGAACUCAAGUUCCUGACCUGGCUGCCCAAGUCCACCUUGAUCUGUCCUCACCUAUAUCUCUGCUUCCCCUGUGCCCAUUCAACAUGCCUGCCAUUUAGCAAACCCACCCUGAUCUUUGGGCAUACUGUCCCUUCUCUCUGAGAUGUCCUCAACCCCUAGCUCAGUCUCUGGAAAACUUCUAGACUCAACACACGUCCACCUCCUUCAGGAAACCUUCCCAGGGCAAUCCAGGCCUUGGCCAGCCCUGAGAGCACACUCUACCAGGUCUCAAAGGAUAGAAAGCAGAGGAACAGAAAGAGCUUUCUAGGCAGGGAAAGAAGCAGAAGAAGGAAGGAGACCAAGGGCAGUGUCCAGCAGAGCAGGGCUUAGUGUAGGUGAGAGAGGAGGGGCACGGCCGAAGUGCUGGGGGAUACAAGCCUGCACCCCUCCUGUGGGUGAUGGGCACCAGGGGAGGUUGUGGAGCAGGAGACUGGCAUGGCUGGAGCCUGGGUAUGCACAGUCAAGCCAGCCCUGCUCUCAACAGGCUCCAAACCCCACCCUCACGAUGACGCCCAGAAACCACACAGACGAGGAGCUGUUUCUUGACUGUUAGUUGGGCCUUGGCCUAUGUCAUACCCAUGGGCUGCCACAUGGGGGUGGAGGGAUCAGGACGAAGAGAGGGGACCAGA
rnacentral:lncRNA from 1 species